GAUAGGUGGGAGCCGUUGAACCUUGAGCGCCAGCUUGAGAGGAGGCAUCCUUGGGAUACCACCCUGAUCGUAUCUAGGUUCUAACUUGGUACCGUGAUCCGGUACGAGGACAGUGUCAGGUGGGCAGUUUGACUGGGGCGGUCGCCUCCUAAAGAGUAACGGAGGCGCCCCAAGGUUCCCUCAGAAUGGUUGGAAAUCAUUCGAAGAGUGCAAAGGCAGAAGGGAGCUUGACUGCGAGACCUACAAGUCGAGCAGGGACGAAAGUCGGGCUUAGUGAUCCGGUGGUACCGCAUGGAAGGGCCAUCGCUCAACGGAUAAAAGCUACCCUGGGGAUAACAGGCUUAUCUCCCCCAAGAGUCCACAUCGACGGGGAGGUUUGGCACCUCGAUGUCGGCUCAUCGCAUCCUGGGGCUGAAGUAGGUCCCAAGGGUUGGGCUGUUCGCCCAUUAAAGCGGUACGCGAGCUGGGUUCAGAACGUCGUGAGACAGUUCGGUCCCUAUCUGUCGUGGGCGUAGGAAAUUUGAGAGGAGCUGUCCUUAGUACGAGAGGACCGGGAUGGACGUACCGCUGGUGUACCAGUUGUUCCGCCAGGAGCACCGCUGGGUAGCUAUGUACGGAAGGGAUAAGCGCUGAAAGCAUCUAAGCGUGAAGCCCCCCUCAAGAUGAGAUUUCCCAAUAUGUAAGACCCCUUGAAGACGACGAGGUAGAUAGGUUGGGGGUGGAAGUGCAGUAAUGCAUGGAGCUGACCAAUACUAAUCGGUCGAGGGCUUAUCCUAAA
rnacentral:rRNA from 1 species